GCCCUGUGGUUACUGGAUGCUGUUAAUGAACAAGAGCAAUGCUGUGCGUUAUGCAUGGGACUGUUCCUCCUCAGCAGCUCCAUAGCCUGGUCACCGGUACAUGA
rfam:Tupaia chinensis contig59918, whole genome shotgun sequence.